UCCGACUUCGUAUGACUUUCUCCAAUGGUACUAUGAACACAUAAGUCAAACUUUGAAAGAGGAUCUUGUUCAUCAUAGUUUAACUCCAAAAUAGUUGAACCUAAUAAAGUACCAUAGGAUGAAGUUUUUUGCCCCAACUUAGACUUUGAUUGGUACUCAGAAAGCAACUCAUAACACAUUCCACAUAUUUUUUCUAUCUCAUUUGAAGCUUCAGACCCAUACAUUAGUGGAAAGUAAAACUCUAAAAUCUUUAUUAUAUCUUAGGUCAAAUAUAGUUGUUAUUGCCAUCAUAAUACGACACCCACUCCAAUACUUGUCAAACUUUUGCAAUAUACUUGAUGUCAUCGUUUUCACAACAUCAUUUGAGCAAAUAAACCAAUCAUACAAUGUCUCUUUGAUCUCACACACUUUGAUGAAGAAAGUAUUUGCAGUGGGAUAAUUUCAUCCUAAGAACAACUUUGUUAUGUUGUAAAACAAUUUCAAUCUUCCACAUAUUUCCUUUGUCAUAUUUCAUUCUUCCUCUGAUGGCACAACCAUGUAGCAUAUUUCACGUUGCUUCAAACAUGGGAACACAUCUUUAUAUGUUAUAGCAAUUGAUAACAUCAAGUAUGUGGAAUUCCAUCGUGUCUUACAAUCAAGACUUAACUUCUUAUUGCAUAGAAUACGCAAUUGGAAAGUUGCAUCUUCAAACUUUUCCAUUCUUGAUGGGGUUGCUAACCAAUAUGCAAAACUCUCACGAAUUUUUUCAAUUUCUACUUCAAUGACAUCCAAACCUUCCUUAGCAAUUAAGUUCAACACAUGUGUCGCACAUCGCAUGUGAAAAAAAUUUCCACUCAAUAAGAGUGAAUGCUCAAAGAUAAUUUUUCCACCAAGAUAUUGAUCAUUCCGUAAUUACUUGAGUAAUUAUCCACAGUGACUAUAGAUACUUCUCUAUCCAUAUUCCAAUCCAACAAGAAAUCCAUUAAUACAUCUGAAAGAACUUCUUUUGUGUGUGGAAGAGGUACAUAAACAAACCUACAUCAAGAAAAAAAAACAUAUCAUUAACACAAACAAUAUCAUUAAAUGAUCAAAUAAAAAAACAUUUUGGAAGUUAAAAAAAUAACAUAACUAACCUUACAAUAUGAUGUUGCAAUAACCAAGACUCAUCAAUGUAAUGUACAGUGAUAGUCAUGUAGCCUUUCUUUUGAUUUGAUGUCCACAUAUCAGUUGUGACAGCAACUCUACUUUGAAGUUUCUCUAAGUAGCUAAUCAUCUUAUCUUUCUCAACCUCAUAAAUCUUCAUUAUAUCACUUUUAAUCGUAUUGCGGGAAACCAUCUUAAACAAGGGUUGGAGGCUAGUAGCAAAAUCUCUAAACCCCACAUGGUCAACGAUUGAAAGUGGGUACUCAUGCAAUAUAAUUGCAUGUGCAAGCUUCUCUCUUGAGAUUUCUUUAUCAAAGGUAAAACCACCAAUUUGAACUUUUCCAUGACCUUUUCUCUCUACUACCAAUAAUUGUUGCCUAAUAUCAACAUUUCUUCAUUUCAUGCACCUAUCUAUGUGUACAUGUAAAUGUUUUGUCCCAUUCUUGCUAUUGGCCUUGAGUUUUCCUUUAUAGUGCUUACAAAUAGCAUAAUCUUGUCCAUCUUCUAUGAUUUUAUCAAAAUCAUUCCAAACAACCGAAGUCAACUUUCUUCUUUUAGAUCCCAAUGUUCCAUCAGUAGUUGAAGUACUGCCUGUAAUUGGAGUUAAACCCACGCUUGGCAUGGAAAAGUUUUCCCUUUCUUCUGAUGUCAUUUUUCUUAAUAUGAAAUAAAGUCUAUAAGUAAAACAUUCAAACCCAAAUUAAUAACACUUCAUUACCACAUAUUAAUUAGAUGGAUUUCAAAGCUCUUUUCCUAGUGUUGCCAAAAAAAAAAAAAAAACAAUGAGUUACACAGGCACUCGAACUGAGCACCUUGUGUAUGUUAUUUCUUUACUAUUGGGGUUUGGGACUUGACAACUACUAACUAGUUAGUUCCACAUGAGCAACAUGUUGAAAUCAGAGAAAAAAAAUUAGGAAAAAUACCACACCUUGUUGUCACCAGAUUACAGAUCUACAGUACGUUUGGACUCUCCAAAUUUUCUGAUUAAGUUGCAAUUACAAUGAUCCAAAUAAGAAGGACAAUCCCAAAUAUCUCAUCCAAAUCUCUCAUUUUUUUCCCUAGAAACUGACAAAGAAACACCCUAAACCAAACAAAUUAACAUUCAAAAAAAAUAUCAAACGUUCAAGACACAAAAAAUAAAACAAAUAAAUACAAAUCAACAAAGAAUCAUACCGGUUUGUAGAUACAUGAAGAUAUGAUUCCUAUGGAGAAAAUGGCAGUAGCGUAAACUGAUGAGACUGCUAGUAGUUGUGAAUAUGAGAUAAACAAGGAUGAAUCGAGAGUAGAUGGAGGAAAUGAGAUUAUUGAAUGGAUUUUCAAAUGGAUUAGCUGAUGGAUUUCUGCAUUAAGUGGGAAGAACAACCCUAGCGUCAAGAGGAACGAAAACCCUAAAACGAGAUAAGAAGACUUGAAAUGAUAAGAUGAAGCAAAUAUUUAUAGUUGGGGGGUAAAGUUGUAAUUUCAUAUUCGGGGCAGGGUGGGGCAGGUCAAAUUAUUACUAAACCCGAUCCCGCCUCGAACCCGAUUUGGGUUAAAAAAAAAAAAAACUGAACCCGGCCCAUCCUUGAUUUCUAUGUUCCCAUACCCAUUCUAAUAAGGGCAGGUGACCAGAAAAACCAGCAAAAUUGUCAUUCCUAAUGAUGAAUGACAAAGAACUCAGAAAAAAUAAAUGAAAAAAGAUGGAGAAAAAAUAAAAAAUACUCAAGGAAUCAUAAGAAAAAAAAACUAGUUUAUGCAUUAAGCUUUUGGAUAACAGAGGGAUUAGAUUAAGAGUCCGUUUGGCAGUGAUUUUUAAAAGUGUUUUUACCCUUAAAAACACUUUUAAGUGUUUUUGGGAUGAAAAUAAAGUGUUUGGCAAAUUUUAAAAAACACUUUUAAAAAUUUGGAAAAACACUUGAAGUGAUUUUUAGAGAAUCCCUUGACAAGUGUUUUUUUUUUAAAUUUUCCAAAAAUGCCCCCCCCCCCCGUGAUAAAUCAAUUAGAAAAAUCUUUUUUCUUUUUUAGAAAUUAAUAGGUGGUCAUAUAUUGUUUUACUUUUAAAAUUAUCUUUUAUUCAAUCUUUUUUUUUUUAUUGAUUUAGAUGUUUUUUGUAAAUAUUUUUUAAAAUUUUAGUAUAGUGAUAAAAAAUUAUUAUUUUUAAUUAGAAAAGUCUUUUUUUUUUUUAGAAAUUAAUAGGUAAUCAUAUAUUGUUUUAAUUUUGUUUUAAUUUUAAAAUUAUCUUUUAUUCAAUAUUAUUUUUUUAGUGAUUUAGAUGUUUUUUCAUUAAUAAAAAGUUUUUUUUGUUUAUCAUACCAUUUUUUUUAAUUAAAAUUGUAUGUCCUUUUAGGUAAUUUAUUAAUAUUAAAAGUGUUUUUAUAUUUAUACAAUAUAUUAUCAAAAACACUUUAGAAUCAUUUUUUCUGAUUAUCAUAAAAGUGUUUUUCACAUAAACACUAUAGCAGAAAACACUUCAAAUAAAAACACUUCCACUAGAAUCACUAUCAAACGGGCUCUAAAUCUUGAAAAGUAACAGUAAAAGAGGAACAAUUCACAUAAAAGAAGUAAAAAUUAUAAAUAAAAAAAAUUAAUAAUAAUAAUAAUAUAAAAAAAAAUCAUCUUAUUCCAAUAACAAAUUCUCAAAAACUAUUUUUAGUAUAAAAAACUAAUCAAACAAAUUUUUAAAAUUUAAAAACUAUUUUCUAUUUUCUCUUCUAAAAAGAAAAAAUUAUUUUAAAAAUAGUUAUUAGACAAAGCCUAACUCUUUCUCUUUUUUUAUCAUAAAAAAAUACAAAUAAAAAUUAAAUAAAAUGUUUUCACACACGUUCAUUCUAAGUAACAUAUUAAACCCGUUUUCAAUUUCACGAGUCGGAGAGUUUAAAAUCAAAAGUAAAAAUUAUUUUUUUACUACCACGUUUUAAGUAUUCUCAUUUUUUUAAAAUAGAAGCUAACGACCGACGCGGGCCUACUUGUACCUUAAAAACCUAUAUAGUUUGGAGCAUAUGAUAUGAGAUGUUCACAAGUUGUUUUUACUUUUUAUAGUGGAGGAAGAUUCCUUCAAAAAGAAAACGUACUCCUUUUUACUUCAAACUUGUAACCACUUGGACUAGUGCAUGCACUUGCUUUAACUUACCCUAUCAAAAUCCAAUUUUAAAUAUUCAGUAGCUUAACUUAUCAUUAGAUCAAACAAAGUUGUCAUUAAUUGAAAAUUUAAAAAUUAAAAAUUAAAAAAUAGAUAAAUAAAAGAGAAAAAAAAAAUCCUAUUGAAGUCUUAGUCAUUAGAUCAACAUAUUUCUACAGAAAAGAGAAAAGUCUUACAAGUUUGACUACAAAAAUUUUAAUAAGAUUUUUACUUUUAUUUCUAUUUUUUAAAAGAGAUUUAAAUUUAGGAAGCCGAAUAAAUUAAAAACGAUAAUACGAGUAAAUUUCUUUCACAAUAACAAGAUUCAUAAUACAAAUGAAAUUUGGUUGUGGUCUCAAAUACAACUCUAUUAAUAAAUAAUUAGCUUGCGUGGCUCAUGAGUGCGCACAACCUUAUCCACAAAUAUGGCUAAUUGGAUCAUAGGUAUCACGUGCGUUUGUACAACCAUCUUUGAAAUGUAAAUGGGAAUAAUGUCAAUGUACCUUCUCUAUUAAAAAUAUUAAAUAUCCAACUUGUAUGAUUUUAAACAAACACAUGCCCUUAUACAAACCUAUAUUUGAAAAACCGAAAUCCCUUGUGCCAAACCACAGCUCUCUCUCUCUAGGAGAAGAAUGGAAAUUGGCCAAGUCAUCGUGACCCAUCUGCUUAAAUCACAUCAUACAGAGUCAUGCUUACUAGUCUUCGAAUUGUUAACAUUAACCACAAUGUUUUAAGUUAGAUUUAAUUUCCCAUUUGACUGUAAUUAAGUUACAUCAACAUUGCAUGGAACAAUUCAAUGGAUUUGAAAGGACUAAUCAAUUGGCCUAAUCCUUCAAAAAGCAAACCUAAUCCUUUUUUCUUUAAACAAGUAACCACUUGGACUAAUACACUCAUUUGCUUUCAACUUAUCAUGAUAAAAUUCAAUUUUAAUACUUUGUGAUGUUGAUAUUACAUCUAACAAAGUUAUCAUUCCUUGCAAAAUAAUAAUAAUAUAAAUAAUAAAAUAGACAAAUAAAAGGAAAAAUCUUAUUGAACUAUACAUGCUUUUAUAAUUUUUAUAUGAUUAAAAUCGAAUUUCAUAUUUAAUGAUUAAGACAGUUUAACUCAAAAGUCUUUUAUGUUACUUCACUCCUAAACCUUUAAGGGGCUUUCAUACUACCAAUACUAAUUAAGUCUCAGUAACACUUGAACCUAACUAUAAGAAUGAAUUUAGUCAUCAUAUCUAUGGGAUUAUCCAUUAUAGGGAUUUUUUUUUCACUGCAAUAGCACCAUGUGCAAUCACAUUCCUAAUAAAAUAACAUGAAUAUGUUUUAUCCUCUUGUAGAACAUUUGAUUCUUGAUCAAAUGUAUAAUACUUUAGCUAUCACAAUACACAAUAGCCAACUCAUGUUGUAAACCUAAAUCGCCAACCAAACCCUUAAGCUAGCCAAAUAGCUUCUUUCACUACUUCUAUAGUUGCUAUGUAUUUUGCUUCUAUUAUUGACAAAGUAAUUUAAGAUUGUAAAGUUGUUUUUCAAUUAAUAACACUACAACAAAAAGUGAAUAUAUACCCUAUUGGAGACCUUCUAUCAAAAUUUCUAGCAUAUUAAGAAUCAACAUAACCAAUAAUUAUCCUAGAAACAUCACUACUUUUAAUAUAUACUAAACCAACAUAUGAUGUUCCUCUCGAGUAUCAAAAUAUCCAUUUCACUAUUUGUCAAUGAAUCCUUUCAGGGAGAUCUUUAUAUCUACUUAUCACAUUAACUGCAUGUGAAAUGUCUAACAUAGUGCAAACUAUAAUAUAAAUAAUGCUUUCAACUACACUAGCAUAAAUACCAUGUGGUAUUUGUUCUCCCUCUGCAUUGAUUUGUAAUUAUAAAGCACUUGAAAGUUCGAACUAAGCUAUCAGUGAAGUACUCACUAGUUUUUACUCUCACGUUCCAAAAUUAAAUGUUCCAACACCUUUUCAAUGUACUUUUUCGGACUAAAUACAUUUUUUGUGCUUCUCGGUCCUAUGAUUAUACUUAAUAUUUUCUUUGUAAUUAGAUAUUUCCUUUAUAAUAAUUGAAAACUCCUUCACACAAAUAUGUCUUGUUAUAAAAUUAUUAAUUUUUUUAAUUAACUUAAAAUAAAAUGUAUGUACAUUAAGGUUUUGAACUUGAUUUUGACAUCGGAGGCCUGUUUGGCCCUUCGGGCAUUAGGUAUCGACCUUUGCCCUAAUUCCUCGUCCAUUCUUUUAGGAUCAGCAAAGUACGAAACUCACAUGCCAUUAAUUGAAUGCUCAGAAUCCACCUCAUCUAGAUCCCAUGGGUUAGAGCAUGGCCUUCUAAACAUUGCUGUAGCAGUAAUUACUUGCACUAAAUGCAUUAGUGCAAGUAAACCACAACAGCAAUGUGGGCAUGCAAAUCCUGCCUUGUAAAUAUCCAUUCACAAAGUUUCAUUGUAUGUAACACGUUUUUAACAACUAAAAUAUUUUAUUUCUUUGUUUAUUUAGUAUUGGAGAUGAAAGGGAAGAUAGGAAGGACUAGAAUGGGGUACCUUCGAGAAUUCCAGUGAAAGUUUCAGAUUUUCCACGAUUUGGAGAUGAAGUAAUCCCAUGGAAAUGUUAAUGAAAAUUCUAAGGAAGAAAAAAAAAAGUGGGAAUUAAAGAAACGAGAAAAACAUCUCCUCUAUAAAAAAUUUUCCUUCCUUUCCAUGAACACGGCAUUGCGAUGGUACGACGUCAUCCACGCAUGGCCGCCUACCACGCACUGUGUUAUUUGACUUCGUUUGAUUAUUUUAAAAGAAUGAUUUGAGUGUCCCCAUGUUAGGGUUUUGAAGGCAUGAAGGUGGACAACCAAACACAGAGAAAAAGAAGAAAAAAAAUUCACCAUCGUUAUGUAAACUGAAAGAAAUUUCCGUACAUCCCAGAUUGAAUUUCAAGUUAUUUCACAAGGACACGUCUCUCGUUCCACUGCUCUAUAAAGACAGAAUCCACCUCGUAAUGGGUCUUAUCUCAAGCCAGGAAAGUUAGACAUCCAACUAUCCAAGGCACACUUCAACUACCACUCAAACUUCCUAUCGCAACCAACAUGUCCAUUUCUGUUAAGGCAACCGUUACCGUGAAAUUAACCAUUGGAGGCUUCCUGUCGAGCUUGGUUGGGUUGAGCCAUCGGCUCGAUGAUAUAUCAAGCUUGCUCGGUAAAUCACUCCGGUUAGAGCUUGUUAGUGCAGAUCUUGAUCCUAGUAAGUAUUUUAUCAUAACUGAUCGAUUUUACAUAUGAUAGUUUCGUUGAGUUCAUGAAUCCGAGUUCGAUUUAAAAGCCGGACAGCUGCAGUUUUCUGCAGGAAGAACUAUGCAAUUGCAAUAGCCUUGCUUUGCUGCAUGUUUUUUGCCCCCUGUUUUGUUAAUAUCAAACACAUUUUCAGUCAAGAAAAUAAAAUUUAAGCAGCAUGGAAAACGGGUGCGUCAUGAAGAUCAUGCGAAGGAGGUUUAGAGCCUUCCUGACCAUGUGUUGACCCCUUACUUUUUGUUUGUUUUCUGAGAAAGCAAAAUAGAACACCCAAGAAAAAUAACAUAGAUAUAUAAAAAGUGAAAGAAGAUACACAUGAGGCCCCAGAUAGCCAAGGUAUUGAAAAAUAACAUUUUCUGUUCCUGUUUCCAAUUUCUUUUAGUCCAAUUAUUUGGUUGAAUUCUUAAAUUUUAUCAGCGGAGUACUGACAAUUUUGUUAACGAUUUUGCAAAGAUACGGGAUUGGAGAAAAAACCGAUUGGCCGGUAUGCUCAUCGAGUAGGUCAAAAGGAUGGGGAGGCUAUUUACGAGUCAAAUUUUGAGAUUCCUGGUGAUUUUGGGGAGAUAGGUGCAGUUUUAGUGCAGAAUGAACUCCGCAAUGAGAUGUACCUCAAGUAUAUAGUCCUCAAUGGCCUUCCCAGUGGCCCUAUUGCAUUCAACUGUGGUUCAUGGGUUGAGUCAAAGUUUGAUAACCCUGAGAAGAGGAUCUUUUUCAGCAACAAGGUUAGCCACCACCUUCUACACUUUUUAUAAUCUCUAAAGCAUAUCUUGACUUAAUCAUUUGCAUAUGUAUGAUCAACUAGGUUCAACCAUUAUAGAUUUCAUGAUUUGUUACCCUAUACCUCUCGUGAAGGAUAUAACUUUGAUAGCUAAAUUAUUACCUUAAACAUUUCAACUGUGGUUCAUGGGUUCAGUCAAGGUUUGAUAACUAAAUUAAUUAUUGCUAAAUUUUUCAAAAUCAUUGUUUUGACAACUGUGGUUCAUGGUGUCACUUCAUUAAAUAUCUUUGACAAAACCGCGUUAGCAGUUGCUAUUGAUUUUCAGAGGCAAUCUAAUAACUAACUUGUGGUCAUCUUUAAAAUUAAUAGAUAAAAUUUUCCACUGUUUUCUUCACAAUAUUUCUCUAUAUAGAUUUGAAUAUUUUUCUUCUCAAAUAUUAGCAUUCAGUCCCUCCCUACCUCUCUCUCUCUCUGCGUCAUGUGUUUGUCCAACUAAGCUAGUUUAAUAUGUAAGGUUGUAGAGAUGUCUCUUUAUCCCCAUGAACUUUCCAGAUGGUGUUUGUUUGCCACCUUAAAGCCUUCAUGCCUUGACCUUAAUUUCGACAACAACUAUAAUAAACCUAAAUUAAUUUAGACGACUUCUCAUUUCAUAUUUUUCUAAUACAUUCAAACCCUGACCACCGUCACCCUAAAUAUCUGUAAAUAAGGUUGGGUUGAAAUUAGCUUUGGUACUACUGAUCAUUGAAAAAUGAUGUACAUCCAUCGAAAACCUCUGCUUGGGGUUGAUAGACAUUAAAAGAUGACUUUUAAAAGCUAGUAGGGCACAACUUUAUAAAAGUAGACCUAAUUUUAUUGCUUAAAGAACAAGUACAAUUUCUUCCUAUGAAAAUUCUUUGAAUGGAUUAUUCAUAUCUAAGUUGAAUAGUCAACUAAACAAGAAAACGAUUGGCUGCCCAGUAGAGGAAGUCAAACCUAUAUAUUGAAAUGUUCGACAUCAAAGUCAUUAAUAUGAAAGUUAAUAUUAUUUUCUAUUUUUAAAAAAUAAAAAAUUUAUUUAAACGAGUACUUAUCAUUUUAUUUAUUUUUAUAUUCGACUCAUUUUUAUAAGGUAGCAUAGUAUAAAUGCAUAGUCCUGCCAUGUCAACACCAGGCUAAUGGAUACUUUCUCAUCACACACAUCCCAAUCUAUUUCGAAAGUCAUCCUCUCAAGUAUGAUGGCAUCAUUGCAACCUCAAUAGCUUAAUUCCAUAAGAAAGGAUUCAGAUGCAUGUGUCUGAAAAUGGGAAGCUGCUAAAUGUUUCCUGAUAAAAAAACAUUCCAUAUCAUUCAGCAGUGGCAUCCUAAAAGCUUAGACAAUGACGGUGACUUCAAUUUUAAAUGAACAGAAUUUUUCAUGAAGAAAAUAUAUUGCAACACCAAAUUAAAGUUUCUACUUCAUAUGAAUUUUUUCGUUGGUAUUAAGAAUGAGUUUGAAUCAUGCGAGCACCAUAACUUGAUAUCAUCAAUAUUGAAAGCAUCAUUCAUCCUAGUGACAUCUCUUAACUUCUAAGUGUUACUCAUCUUUUGUUGAUGUGGGACAGUCAUGCUUACCAUUGCAAACGCCAAGAGGCCUCAAGGGUAUGAGAGAAAAAGAGCUUGCAAGUUUGCGAGGUAAUGGUGAAGGGGAGCGCAAGACCUCCGAUAGGAUCUAUGAUUAUGGUGUUUAUAAUGAUCUGGGUAACCCUGAUAGCAAGUCUGAAUUGGGGCGACCAGUGCUUGGUGGCAGCAAGAAUUUUCCAUAUCCUAGGCGAUGUAGAACUGGACGUCCACGGUCCAAGACUGGUACGAAAACUAGAAUUCAACUCGUUCGUUUUUAAUAAGAACCUAGCAAAUCCUAGAUGAGUCAAAAAUUUAAAAAGAAAAAGAAAUGUCUUGCAACUGAUUAAUGAUUUCUAACUUAUAACACAAGGGUCAUAAUUAACCGUGAAGAGGAGGCACAUGACAAAAAUAUUUUAUCAAGAAUUGUAUCAUUCUCUUUCAUCAAAUAAGCAAUUUCCAUGAUGCAUGCAGAUCCUCAUUCAGAGACAAGGAGUGGCACCUUCUAUGUGCCAAGGGAUGAAGAAUUUUCUGAGGUGAAGGAGGCUUCGUUCAUAACGAAGACAGCAGACUCAGUGUUGCACGCAUUAAUACCUUCCCUAGAGACAUCCCUACUUGACAGUAAUCUUGGAUUUCCACUCUUCUCCGAUAUAGAUCAAUUAUACAAAGAAGGAAUCACCAUUCCCAAGCUUAAAAAUCAAGGACUUUUGCGACGUGUACUGCCCAGACUAGUGAAGGCCGUUUCUGAGGCUAAAGAUGAUAUCGUGAAAUUUGACAGCCCCGCAAUGUUUCAGAGUAAGAAAAAACCUUCACACCCCCACCUCCACUCCUGUCUCUCUCACAUACGAACUGAAGUCUUUUUGAAUUUGCAGGGGACAAGUUUUCUUGGUUUCGGGAUGAGGAAUUCUCACGCCAAACUCUAGCUGGUGUUAACCCAUAUAGUAUAAAGUUGGUUAUGGUACGAUAAGCAACUUUUAAUGAUCAUAUGUUAAUAUUAAGCAUUAAUCAACUUCACAUGCAUCAUUGGUUUACUCUUAAAUAAUUUAAUUAUUUUGCAGAAACAAUACUUUUGUGGAUAACAAAGUUCAGAAAUUAGGUUUUCGCCUAUCUGAUAAUGUAAUUCUUACAUCAUUUUUCUAUUCUGCAAAAAGCAAUUCAACAAAUUAACCCAUCAUUUUCUGUGUAUGCAUAUAGGCAUCUAUAGCAGGCAGUGAAUGGUUAUAAGAUUGUGCUAAUAAAAAUUGCGUCAAAUCAUGCAGGAAUGGCCAUUGAAGAGUGGACUGGCCCCUGAUGUCUAUGGCCCACCUGAAUCGGCAAUCACCACAGAGUUGGUUGAGCGAGAGAUAAAAGGCUUCAUGACAGUAGACGAGGUACGUACCUUUCCUCUCUCUCUCUCUCUCUCUUUCAAUCUCCCAAGGAUUAAGUUGUCUAAAUUUGGGAACAUGAACGCAGGCAUUAGAACAAAAGAAGCUAUUCAUCAUAGAUUACCAUGACUUGUUAUUACCAUAUGUGAGCAAAGUAAGGCAGAUCGAAGGGACAACACUAUAUGGCUCCAGGGCACUUUUCUUCCUAACCCCUGAUUGCACCUUGAAGCCUCUAGCCAUCGAGCUCACUCGCCCACCAAUGGAUGGAAAGCCACAGUGGAAGCAAGUUUUCACGCCCAGUUUGGAAGCUACAGGUUGCUGGCUUUGGAGGUUUGCCAAAGCCCAUUUCCUUGCUCAUGACUCCGGUUAUCAUGAGCUUGUUAGUCACUGGUACAUGUCAAACUUAUCAUUUCCCCUUUUUUCCUUUCUCAUGCGAUAUCAUUUCUAAAAACCAGUUUAUAGGGUAAACUUCAUGAAUGACAAUACAAGAACUUAACAUCUGCUUUGCUUGUUUUGCAGGUUGAGAACUCACUGUGCAACAGAACCUUACAUAAUUGCAACAAAUCGGCAACUCAGCGCGAUGCACCCAAUCUAUAAGCUAUUGCAUCCUCAUUUCCGCUAUACAAUGCAGAUCAAUGCCCUUGCUAGACAAGCCCUCAUCAAUGCGGAUGGGAUCAUUGAGACUUCAUUCUCGCCCAGCAAAUAUUCUAUGGAGCUUAGCUCUGUUGCUUAUGACCAGCUGUGGCGGUUUGAUAAGGAAGCAUUACCAGCAGACCUAAUAAACAGGUAUUCUGAUUAUUAAUAUAUAGUUACCUGAAAGUCCACUUGCUAACUUUUUGGGUUUCUUAAUUGCCAGGGGAAUUGCUGUUGAGGAUCCAACUGCUCCCCAUGGCCUAAAGCUACUGAUCGAAGACUAUCCUUUUGCCAACGAUGGUCUCAUACUAUGGGAUGCCUUAAAACAAUGGGUUGCAGACUAUGUCAAUUACUACUACAAGGACGCGAGCAUGGUACAGUCUGAUCCAGAGCUUCAAGCAUGGUGGACGGAAAUCCGAACGAAAGGUCAUGAGGACAAAAAAGAUGAACCAUGGUGGCCAGUCCUCAAAACACCAGAAGACCUCAUUGGAAUAAUCACAACUAUAGUGUGGGUGGCCUCCGCUCACGACUCAGCCGUCAAUUUUGGACAAUAUGCUUUUGCUGGUUACUUCCCCAAUAGGCCUACCAUUGCUAGAACCAAUAUGCCCUCUGAAGACCCAACAAGAGAAGGAUGGAAACGAUUUUUGGACAAUCCCGAAUUUGAACUCUUGGUAUGCUUCCCUUCACAGAUUCAAGCAACAAAAGUUAUGGCUAUUUUAGAUGUGUUAUCGAAUCAUUCUCCAGAUGAGGAGUAUCUAGGGGAGCACAUGGAGCCAGCAUGGGGUGAAGAACCAGUUAUAAAGGAAGCAUUUGAAAGGUUUUCUGCGAAGUUAAAGGAACUCGGAGUAAUUAUUGAUUCUAGGAAUGCAGACGAUAGUUUGAAGAACAGAGGCGGAGCUGGGGUGGUUCCAUAUGAGCUCUUGAAGCCAUUUUCUGAAGCUGGGGUGACAGGAAAGGGAGUUCCAUACAGCAUCUCCAUCUGAAGUACUAAUCGAUACGAUGUAACUUUUGUUGGAUCAAUAAGGAUGAAAGAAUCACAGAAAUAAUUACACGAAAGAAGUUGAAUAUUUGAAAAUUAAAAAAUUUAUUGUAUUCCACAGCUCUUUUUCAAAUAUUACAUGACAUAAUACUUUAUUCAUAAAUACAUUGAAACUUUUGACAAUAAAAAUAUAAAAUCUUCUAACACUCAACUCUUUAAAUAUAAAAUCUAAAUCAACCACACAAAAUAAAAUAAAUCUAAUUAUAAUUUUUAAAAACUUCUUAAAUCAAGUUUAACUUUUCUAACAUACCCCUUAAACUUGAUUUGUUAUUCUAAGUAUCAUACUUAAGUUUCUAAAAUCUUCAAACUUGACAAACUUUGUAAAAAUAUUCAUAAUUUGAUCACGAGACUUUACAAAUUUUAAUUGUACUUCAUUUUGUAUCAUGCACCCUUUAAUAAAAUGAUAUCUUAUAUCGAAAUGUUUACUUUGAUCAUAAAACGAAGACCGAAUUUUUUACAUUGCAAUCAUUAAUAAUUUGUUGUAUAACACAAAUCUUUGUGAUGCUUGUGGUAAACUAAACACUUUUAAAAAAAAAUCAAGUCAAAUGGCAAUGAUGUGAAAUAAGGCUUUCAAGUUACCUUUUAAAAUGUUCAAUAAAUCUCGAUUGGUUGUUUCACUAACCAAUUUUCUCACCUCAUGAAUAGAACUACAAAUACAAGAACCAUUCUUUUCCUUAAUACAAAAACUUUUACUUCCGUUUUUCACAGAGAAAACAAAAAAAAAAUGUUUUUUUUCUUGUCUUGGCUUUCUAAGGGAGAGAUCUUCUCAUAAAGAGGAAUAAAAAUAAAUAACUAAAUAAAUAAUAAUGGCAACUUCUAGGUAGUUUUAAAACUCCCAAAAACUGCUCCUCCCAUUUUCUUAUUUAUUAGGUCAAGUCAUGUCAACCCAUUUGGGUUCCUAAAUCUAACUCCAACAUCUCCCACUUGCACAAGAUGGGUUGAGAUAGUUUGAUCGAUAACAUCCAAAUCCAUUCUAUCCCACUUUUGAAAGUCGUUUAUAUAGGCAAAUGUGUCAUGUGGACAUGCGAACACACCUACAAUUUGGGAGUUAUAAACUUAUGUACCCGUUAGUGACAUAUAGUAGUUCAACCCCCAAAAUUUAUGAGCGAAUAAUAAUAAUCAUGUUUUGUUGUACUCCAAACUUAUUUAGUUAUGUUUUUAAUAUGUAUACUAACCAACAUUAUAAAUGUGUUCACAAUUAUAUCAACUAUAAAAACGAAAUAACCGAUCGAUUAUAAACACAUAUUUGUCAAUGCAACUCAAAAAGUCUUCCUUUUGAGUCCUUUUGAGUUGAUGCCUUAGGUUCAAAUUAAUUAUUUGCCCAAUAUGCCCCAUAAAGAUAAAUUAUUUCAUUUUUGUCAAAAAUAUACCAAAGUAGCAACAUUGAUUUGCCACCUUAGAACAUUGUCAAAAAUACAAAGAGUAUAAUAAUGGACUAUUAUAAUUGUAAUAAGCCCUAAGGAUCUCACACGGGAAGAAUGCAAGAAUUAAUCACUCAUUUUCCUUAUUAGUCAUAUUCAAACACAUGUAGUAUGAAAUACAUGCUAUGAUGGUUUCUCUCCACUUAGAGAGUGUAAGUCAAACUACCACUAUACGAACCUCAACUAAAAGCUUUACACCAAUAGCUUGUUCGAGUUUGACAUUUAUAGUUCUUCUUAAACCUUUUAUGCUAAAACUCAAAUUCAAUUCAAAUAAACAAAUGUAAUCGUAGACGAUUACGUUUGGUCAAAAUGUCAUUUAUUAUAGCCCUCAUCUUGAUACUUAAUCAAAUCAACAUUCAAUAUCUUUAUAUAAUUUUCACUCAUUUAUCGUCAUUAGUAUGUUAUGUCUCAUCCUAACUCAUAUUGACUGGGGCAAUUGCUCGUGUGAGAAAGGCAACCUCUAUCUAUUAACAUACAUUUAAGAGCAUAUAUGUGUAAGUACCAAUUACAUAUUUAAUGAUAUGAAUCACAAAUCCUCAUAUCAUUUUAUCAUGUAUAGUGUAUCUUAUACCCAAUCAAUAAUGAUCUAUGACAUAUGAUCAACAUAAACCAUAACCUAGAUAGUUCUAACGACUUUACAUAUAAAAUAAAAAUAAAUAAAUAAAAACAAGUUUCUUGGAAUGGAUUUUGUGAAUGGAUCAACAAUCAUUUCAUAGGUAAGUAAAUAUUCAGGAUCACCUCUUUUUUUGCAAUAAUAUCUCUUUUUAAAAUUGUUCUUGGUAUCUAUAUGUUUAGUCCUUCCAUAAUAUUUUGGAUCCUUUACAUAAUGAAUAUUCGUAGUUUAACUGUCAUUAUAAAUUGGCAUUGACUCAAAAACAUCUAUGAUUAUUCCUAACCUUUGCCCAAAAAAAAAAAAACUUCCUAACCAUAUAGCUUCAUAUACUAUAGUUGAAUAAACAAUAAAUUCAACUUUCAUGAUUGACAAAGCUAUAUAAGUUUGUUUCUUCAUUAGUUGGUACCAUUAUUAAGCAAGAAUGUAUAUUCAGAUAUUGAUUUGCUCUCAUCUAGAUCACCUGCCUAAUCAACAUCCGAAUAUCUCACCAAGCAUAAUUUUUUACCUUGAUAAUAAAGAGAAUAGUCCAUAGUGCCUUUUAGAUACCCAAGAAUUCUCUUUACUCUUUUCCAAUGAAUCAUUUCAAGAUUUUCUUGGUAGUAUCUAAUCAUCCUAACAACAUAAGAGAUGUCUAGUAUUGCACACAUUGUAGCAUACACUCUCAACAGCACUAAAGUAGGGAACAUUAAUUAUUUUCUCUUUUUCUUUUAAAGUCUUUGGACUCAUUUCUUUGCUUAGAUUUUCACCUCUUGCAAAUGGAUUAGUGUCAAUGGGAUUGCAAGCUUACAUAUUAAAUCGUUCAAGGAUAUUCUUAAUAUAGUGUUUUUGUGAAAGAGCCACUAUUUUGCAAGAAUGAUCUUUAUGGAUCUUUUCCCCAAGAGUGAAAGAUGUUUCUCCCAUAUCUUUCAUCUCAUGAAAAUAGAUGACAACCAUCUUUUAAUGGUUUGGAUGAAUACCAAAUCAUUUCCAAUUAUCAAUAUAUCAUCCACAUAUAAAGAUAAUAACAUAUAUUUAUCUUUAUGUCACUUAAUAUAAGCAUAAUGGUCUUCAUCAAUCAUUGUGAAAUCAUACGAAGUUAUUGCAUAAUGAAAUUUCAAGUACCACUGCCAAUUGGAUGAUUGUUUAAGGCCAUAAAUCAAUCAAUUUAAUCUACACACUUUGUGUUUUUGGCCUUAGAUAAUGAAACCCAUUAGUUGUUCCAAAUAAAUUUCUUUAUUAAACUCUUCAUUAAAGAGAGUUGCCUUAACAUCUAGCUCUAAAUCCAUAUAAGCUACUAUAGCUAAAAUAAGGUGAGUCAAGGCAAACCUAACUACUAAAAAGAAGGCUUCCUCAUAAUUUAUACCCCUUUGUUAAGUAUAACCUUUAACAACUAGUCAAACUUUAUAUAUAUUUUUCAAUGGAUCCAUCUGCCUUUCAUUUUAUCCCAUUUGUUCCCAAUAACAUUUCAAUCCAAAGGCAAAUCUACAAAAUCUGAGACUUGAUUCUUUUGCAUUGACUUCAAUUCCUCUUCCACUACUUUUCUCCAUUCAUCCUUAAUUGGACAAGUAAGAGCCUUAUGAACUGACUUAGGUUCAACAUCAUCAUAUUGAGUUACAAUAUGAACUUCUCCUUUAAUUUCAAAUCAUCAUCAAGGAAUAAUUUUGUGGAGAACUUUUUCUCAAUAUCAAAUCUCUUACUACACUCACUACAAGUACUAGUUCACUUCCACUUGAUUCAAUUGUUGUUUGAGUGUGAAUCUUAUGUCAAGAUCCAUUAUUUCAUACAGAUGUAAAUUCCUAUCAAUCUCACAUGUACAUGGGAAAUCAUCCUCUAAGAAUGUGACAUUUUAUGAUUCGAAUGCAAUUAUUGUUUCAUCUUCAUGUUCACUUAUGAAUACAUACCCUUUGGAGUGUUCAGUGUAUCUUAUAAUGAUACAUUUCCUUUUUUUAUGACCUAAUCUUUCAUAUUUAUGAGAACGAUUAUAAACAUAAGCCACUAACCCCCAAGGUCGCAAAUUGCUAGGAUUAGGUUUUCAAUUAUUCCAUAACUCAUAUGGAGUAGAUGCAACAAACUUUAAGGGUACUUAAUUAAGUCAAUGAGUAGCAGUCAACAAUACAUCUCUCCAUAACAAAAUAGGAAGAUAUGCUUGAGCCAUCAUUGACCUAACCAUAUUCAACAACAUUCUACUCCUCCUCUUAGCAAUACCAUUUUAUUGUGGAGUCCCAAGAAUAGUCCGUUGUCUACUAAUACCAUUUUCAUCACAUAAAUAUCUAAAUUGUUCUUAUAGAUAUUCUCCAUCCCGGUCUGUUCUUAAUAUUUUAAUCCUUUUGUUCAACUGAUUUUCAACUAAAUUAAUGUAGCGUCUAAAACAAUCUAAUGCUUCUAACUUAUGAGAAAUCAAAUAAACAUGACUGUAACGAGUAAAUUCAUAUAUAAAUAUGAUGAAGUAGAAAUAGAAUACAUCAUAUAUAAAUAUAAAUUGCACGAUUAUGUGUUAUAAGAAGACCAAGGGUAUGGUCACAAUUAUUGUAAUCAUAAGAGUGUGAGAGAAAAAGAGCAAAGGAAAAAAAUAGCAAACUGAGGGUGCGAUUGCAAUGACAUUAAUCCUAGGAAUAAGAAAAUAUUAAGAAAUUUGAGGGUAUGGUCAUAAUGAUUAUAAUCUUGGGAAUAAAAAAUAGAAAAUCAACGGAUAGAGAUAGAAAAUUAAAGGAAAGAAAUAGAAAAUCGAGAAUCGAUUAUGACUAUUAAAAUCUAAAGACCUAUAUGAAACUAAUAAGGUAUGGUUACAAUGAUCGGAAACACAAUCUCAAUUAUUGAAGACUAGGAAAGAUUGAAAGUACAACCAUGAUGAUCAAAGCUAGGAAACACUAAAGAUAUAGUUGUGAUCAUUGAAACUAAUAAGAUGCAAAUGUAAUGAUCGAAGGCUAAUAAAAUGUGGUUACAAUUACCAAAGUGCAUGUGAUAAGAUAUGGUUGCAAUGACCAGAACUAAUAGAAAUGACUAACAAGGAUGAAAGACAUCAAUAAACCAACUAUUGAAAAAACAAUAAAAACAUAUUAUGAAUUACUUCAAACCCAUUAAGCACUUUGGGAUAUGUUUUACCAUCAAAAGGAAAACGAGUCCCAUCCCCAUUAUGAGAAAAGGAAAAUUACACCAACACUUGCUAAGGUAUAUGAUAAUUACAGCAAGUGUAUAUGAUAAUUACAGUUCAAGUACCUUAAGGGUAGUGUAAAUCCCAAGGAAGCAUGUAGAGUCAAAUAUCAAGAAUGAAUAAAACAAGAUUACUAACUUAAAUUAAGGUUAUAUUUGGUUCCCGUUUGAUUGAAAAUCUGAGGGAAAAAAUGAAUAGGAAAAGUAUGUAAAAAAAAAGUAAAGAAAAAUAAAAAAUAAAUUUAAAAUUAAUAAAUUAUUUUUAUAUACUUUUUCAAACUAAUAAUGAAAAUUUCCAUAUAUAUGGCCGACUUUGAUAUAUUGAAUAAGAGAAAUUUCAGAAAAUAUCGUCAUAUUUCACCGAUAUAUUGGUAUUUGCUGAUUUUUGGAUGAUAUUUCACGGAUUUUUUGACGAUAUUUAUGGAAAAAUCGCCAACUAUUUCCAUUUCUCUUUUUGGUUCAAAAAUCAUAAACUGGGCUCAGCCCAAAAGCCCACAUAGACGAACUGUCAGCCCAGCACGCUUUCCGUGCUUGGGAGUGUCCCAUGACUCACGCUCACAAAUACCCCCACUACCAGUCGACCAACCACGCUGUAUGUUAUAAACUGAAAUUUUUUUAUAUAUUUUUACAUUAUAAACCAUAUAUAUAUGUGUGUGUAUAUUAUAAAUUAAUUAGAAUAAAAUUAUUAUAAAUAAAUUAAUUUUGGUUAUUGUGUUUUUUAUAUAAUAAUUAAAUACAAAAUAAAUAUAAAUUUAUGAAUAAAAUUAUCAAAAUUUUAAAAUAAAAAAUACUUAUACAAAUUAUUAUCAUUUCUUUGAUAUCAUUAAAUAUAUCCAAAUUAGAUGAAUAUGCAUAAAGUAUAUUUUCAAGUUAUGAACAUUAUUGUUAAAUAUCACCACUUAUAUUUUACAUAUAUCAAUUUUUUUAACAAAACAACCUUAAUAUUUAUAUUAUUAUUUUUCAUAUCAUUUUUUUAAUUGUUGACAAUAUUUUGAUGAGUUUUGAUCAAUUUUUUACUCAUCUAUAUUUUAUAUCAAAAUAUCCACCUAUAUAUCCGUAAAAUCAAAGUAUCGAUACAUCCGAAAUUAUCAAUAUUUUCAUCCUUACUUCAAAACAUUUCACUUAUUUUUCUCUAUUAUAUAAAUAUUAAAUAAUUUUAAAAUGAGGAAAUUUUUAACUUAUUAAUUAUAUUGAUUUUAUUUUGUAUUUUUCAUAAUAAAACUAAACAUUAGAAAACUAUUUUUCUUAAUAUAUUUUUUUUCCUUAUUACUUUCCAACCAAACAUAGCCUAAUUUAUUAAGAAUAUGAAGAGGCAAUAACUGAUCUUCCUGCAUUCAAGACUGCAUAUCUUUAUUACCCUGAUUCGAAUUUCACAUUUUACAUUGUUUUGCAACCAUAAAAUGAGUUCAAAACUUCACUCCCAAAGCAUUUCAUUGUGACUUCAAAUGGAGAUACUGUAUGGAACUCCCUUUCCUGUCACACCAGCUCCAGAAAAUGGCUUCAGAAGCUCAUAUGGAACCACUCCAGCUCCGUGUCUGUUCUUCAAAUUCUUGUCUUCAUUCCUAGCAUCAAUGAUUCCUUCAAUUUCUUUCAACCUUCCAGAAAACCGUUCAAAUGCUGCCUUUAUUAAGGGAUCUGCACCCCAUGCUGGCUCCAAAUGCUCCCCUAGGUAUUCCUCAUCUGGAGAAUGACUUGAUAACACAUCUAAAACAGUCAAAACUUUUGCUGCUUGAAGCUGUGUAGGCAGGCAUGCCAAGAGUUCAUUCUCAGGUUUGUGCAAAAACCGGCGCCAUCCUUCUUCAGUUGGGUCCUCAGAAGGGAGGUUGGUCCUGGCAAUAGUAGGCCUAUUGGGGAAGUAACCAGCAUAAGCAUAUUGUCCAAAGUUGACGGCAGCAUGGUGCCCAGACGUUACCCAUACCAUAGUUGUGACAAUCCCAAUUAGGUCUUGGGGUGUUUUGAGGUCUGGCCACCAUGUUUCAUCUUUCUUGUCCUCAUGGCCUCUUGUUCGGAUUUCAGUCCACCAUGCUUGAAGCUCUGCAUCAGACUUCACCAUGCUCGCAUCCUUGUAGAAGAAAUUGACAUAAUCGGUAACCCAUUCUUUUAUGGCAUCCCACAGGAGGAGACCAUCAUUGGCAAAAGGAUAAUCUGGGAUUGCUAGCUUUAGGCCAUGUGGAGAACUUGGGUCCUCAACAGCAAUUCCCCUGGCAUUACCAAAACAAAAUUGUUAAUUAGCAAGGAGACUCGGUAGGAAUUGAAUCUGUUUUAGCCCUCUCUUCCUCACAAAUAAACCAUUAGUUUAUCAUCUAGGAAACGGCCAACAAUGUAAAUCAACUAGUAUUAGUACUCUAAUGACCAAAAGAGAGCAUAAUGACAAAAUCGUUUUAGGGCAACUAUGACCAAGAGUGAAUUCACCGAUUAGUAUAAGUACGAUAUUGCAAGCUUGCCCUCAAAAAUUUAUAUUUGCCAUAAGUAGGAUAACUUGGGGGAUUCUGGCUUAAUAUGUACCUGCUUAUUAGGUCUGCUGGCAGUCCUUGUGUAUCAAAGCGCCACUGCAGGCCAUAGGCAGCAGAGCUGAUCUCAGUAGAAUACUUUCCGGGUGUGAAUGCGGACUCAAUGAUCCCAUCAGCAUUGAUGAGAGCUUCUCGAGCAAGAGCAUUGAUCUCCAUUGUGUACCGGAAAUGAGGGUGUAACAGUCUAUAGAUUGGGUGCAUUGCACUAAGUUGUCGAUUCGUUGCAAUUAUAUAAGGUUCUGUUACACAGUGAGUUCUCAACCUGCAAAAAUAAGCAAAGGAGGUCUCAUGUUAGCUCACCGACAUUCAUGAAGCUUAGUCUGCAAAAAACUUCUCUGAAAAUGUUUUCCAAAGAGAAGUGGAAAAAAAUGAAGAAAUAAAUUAAAGAAAAAAAAUUGAUAAGUUUGUUUUAAGUGCAAAUAAUUCUCCAGGCAUUAUUCUGAGAAGAAAUGAAAGGCAAUGGCAUUUACCAGUGACUAACAAGCUGGUGAUAACCAGCGUCAUGAGCAAGGAAAUGAGUUUUAGCAAGUUUCCAGAGCCAGGAACCUGUGGCUUCCCAGCUAGGCGUAAACACUUGCUUCCACUGCGGCUUCCCAUCCAUGGGUGGUCGGACGAGUUCGAUGGCCAGCGGCUUCAAUGUGUUAUCAGGGCCUAGGAAGAAAAGUGCCCUUGAUCCAUACAGCGUUGUCCCUUUGAUUUGCCUUACUUCGCUCACGUAUGGCAAUAAGAUGUCAUGAUAAUCUAUGAUGAACAGCUUCUUUUGUUUUAGUGCCUGCAUUCAUUCAUGUACUCACUUUUACAUAGUUCAACUGGGAGAAUGAUAAAGAGGAAGAAGAGACAAAGAAGAGAAGUACAUACCUCAUCAACGGUCAUGAAUCCUUUGAUCUCUCGCUCGACUAUCUCCGUGGUGAUUGCAGAUUCAGGGGGACCAUAGAUCUUAGGAUCGAGUGUGCUCUUCAAUGGCCAUUCCUGCGUGAUUUAAUGCAACUCUUUUGUCAUACAUGGAAACUGAUAAGUUCAUUGUAAUAUACAUCAAGCUAGAGUGAUUAAUAUUUAACAAUAUAUGAUCCUGAAGCAAAUUGAUCAUUUUCAUACCUUAACCAAUUGUAUACUAUAUGGAUUGAGACCGGCAAGAGUCUGGCGUGAGAACUCCUCAUCCCUAAACCAAGAAAAUUUGUCCCCUGCAAAUGCAAAAACACAUGAGAUUGAGAGAAGUCUUAAAAAGGGAGUAUAGAUCUUGAUGAGUAAAGGUCUUUUUCUUACUGAGCAACAGUUGAGGGGUUUCAAAUUGCAGGAGACUAUCUGUAGAAUUAGUGAUGGCCCUCACUAGUCUGGGCAGUAUAUCUUGCAAAACCUUAUGCUUUUUAAGAUUAGGAACAUUGAUUCCUUCAUUGUAUAACUCGUCUAUUUUGGUGAAGAGUGGAAAUCCAAGACUAGUGUCUGUAAUCACUGACUCUAUUGCCGGCACCACAGCGUGCAACGCUGAGUAUAACGUAUUUGUAGAGAAUGUUAGCUCCUUCACGUCCGAAAAUGCUUCGUCCCUUGGCACAUAGACGGUUGAACUCCUUGUCUCUGCUUUCGGGUCUGCAUGUAUCGAUGGCGGUUGCCCAUAUGAGUAAAUUAAGUUUAAAUCAAACAAUUCUGAAUGUACAUAUUUUGUUGUCAAAGUUUAAGUUUAAGUUCUGAUUCUCGUACCAAUCUUAGACAUUGGACGCCCCGUUCUACAUCGUCUUGGGUAGGGAUACUGCUUGCUACCACCAAGUACCGGUCGAGUCAGUUCAGGACUGCUGUCUGGAUCACCCAGAUCAUCGUAUACAUCAUAGUCAUAGAUUCUAUCAUAUGACUUGCGCUCUCCUUGACCAUUACCUCGCAAGGUUACAAGCUCUUUUUCUCUUAUUUCUUUGAGUCCACUUGGUGUUUCCAAUGGUAAGUAUGACUACACAAAACACAGAUAAGUAGAUUAAAUCCUAAAAAGUACGAAACAUCAUGGAUGAAUGAGGUAUUGAAACCUCAUAAUAAUCAUUUUCAUAAUACUUUAACUGUCGAAUAUUUGAAAAUCAAUUAUAAAUAUCAAAUCUUAAAAAUCCGGCUUGUAAAUAUCAAAAAUGAUUUAAAAAACUUAACUAGUUUUGUGGUUCAAUGAGCAGUGCUGGUUACUUUCGAAAGCAUGGUUAUAAGAUCAUGUUUGGAUGUAUUAACCGAUUUGAGGACUACUUCCAUACACUUGUGAGGACUACUUCCAUACACUUGUGAGGUAUUAGCCAUUAGAUUGACUUUUGUAUCUUCUUAUUCUUCUCAUCUAUCCAGCUUUUGAAAGCAACCAUUACUGCCUGUGGAGCCACACGCCUUGAUUUUGUUCCACAGACAUAUCGCUCUACCUAUUGCCUAAGCCUUGACUCCAAUAUCCGGCUACCUCCACCAUAUCAACAUCGGUGUAGGCAGAAAAUGUGUCACACCAAUAUUUGUGGCAAAUAAUAAUAAUAACUUAGGAGGUAUAAGAUAAAAUUUAAUAUUUAUUGUUUAAUUAUAAUCUAAAUUAAAUUUAAAUUAAAUUAUAUUUAAAUUUAUUAACUUUUACUUAUUUUAUAAAAUUAACUUAAAAUUUAUUUUAUAUCAUCAAAUUGACAUAUUUAUUUUUAUAAAUUAUAAUUAGAAUAAAAAAAGUUGAAUAACAACCUGAAAUAAUAAUAAAAAUUGAUAAAAUGAUUAAGACAAAUGGAGGUAAAAAAAUAAAAUAAAAAUAUAAACUUAAAAUAAGCUAAUUAUUUCUACUUAUUAUUUAAAAUUAUUUUUUAUUUUAAGUCAUAUCAUUAUAUUAUUUUACUAAACAUACUUAAUUUAGUUACUGAUUUAAAAUUAAAUUAUUAAAUCACUUUAAACUACUAAUUUGAUUUAUCAACACCUAUUUAAUAAAUGAUUUGAACUUAUUUUUAAUUUGAAUGGUUGAUAUUAUAAUUAAAUGAUAUUAAGUUAUAAUAAAUAUAUAUAUUAAUACAAAAAGAAUUAAAAAAAAAAAAAAAAAAGCUUCUUGAUUAAUUUUUAUUCUCCAAUUAAAAGUGGCUUUUGAUAUCACAUAAAAAUAAAAAAAAAUAAAAAAGCGCACACACACACACACCAAAAAAUGGGACAUCAAAAGGACUGAUUCAUUGUGGCUUGUGGUCCUGAGGAGACCCUCUGAGAGAAAAUUAUGGGAAAAAUAGUGGUUUUGUAAAGCCGGAUCCAAUCAAAUAAACGGACUCCGACUCAUCACUGAAAAUGAAAAGAAAACGAAGCAAAAGAAGAAUCAAAGCUAGAUUGAAAAGUAGUAGAAAGGACGAAGCAUGUGAUAAGUGUCACUUGAGGGCCACCCGAUGGUGAAAUUAAAGCCUUGGGACCAGUUUCGCUUUAACCUGUCCUACACAGAUUUUUAGGGACCAUAUGUUCGAACCAACAGAGGUAUUCGAUGGAAUUAAAGAACAUUUAAAUUCAUGAGAGGUUGUGGAACAGAUCCGAAAGAAAAAAAAAAACUGAGAUUUUUAAAACAAUUCAUUAAAAUCCUUCAAUAUUUUCAAAAAUAGUUAUCUAAAACGAUUUUGGGUAUGUUUGAUUGUUGUUUUUGAAAACUAUUUUUUGAAUAUUUAAAAAAAAGAAAAAAUUGUAUUUGGAAACUGAAUUCUGAAAAACAGUUUUUAUUUUCAAAAACAAAAAAUAUAUAUUUGAUUAAAUUAAUAAAUAAAAAGUUUAGAAUAAGUAAAACAUAAAAUAUGUUUUAAAAUUAUUAUUUUUAAUUCAUAAAGUGUUUUCUUCCAUUAACUUGAUAUUAUAAAUAUAUAAAUAAUCUUCGGAUGCACAAUUUAUUUAAAUUAAAAAAAAUUAUUUUAUUUUAAAAUUUUUACACCAAUUAUAAUUUUCUUAAAUAAAUGAUGACUUUAUUAUUAUAUAUAAGUAUAUUAAUUUCAAUAAUUUAAGAAAGAAGAAAAGGUUUACUGAUGGGGUGUGAUGGUUGGGUGGAACUCACCUUUGUAAAAACAUAAAAACAACUAAGAAAACACAAAAAGAAAUAAAAGAAAAUACGAAAAACAAUCUAUUUUUUGAACAAUAAAAAUAUUUUUUUUAUUGUUCUUGAAAAAGUGAUUUUUGAGAACACAAAAAACAAAAACACAUCCCCUUCUUCAAACAAAUUUUUUAUGUUUUUUGUUUUUAAGAACAUAAAACAAUUCUUGAAAACAAGAACCAAACCGACCUUUUUAUUCUUAAAAAAAAAAUAAACUAUUUUAAAAAAUUUUCUUUUAAUAUUGUUUAGUUUAUUUCAUUUAUUUUUUGAGAUCGAUUUUAAAAAAUAAGUAUAUACACGUAUAAAAUUAUUAAAAAUAAAAUAUUAAAUUUAAAAUUUAUUUUUAAAUUAUUAAAAACUAUGUUAAAACCAUUUCAGGUUUUUAAAUAAAUUUUUAUUUUAUAAAAUAUAAAAAAAAAUGUUGUAAAAAAUUAUUUUUCAAAACUCUUUCCGUUUUAAUUAAUCUGGAGUCGUGUAGCACCAUGAAACAUAGGGUAAAAAAAAUUAUCAAUGCAAGUAAUGAAGAUGGUUGAUGGCUAAUUACCUUGUUGGUGAAGAAGACCCUCUUCUGAGGGUCAUCAAACUUGGAAGCAACCCAUGAACUACAGUUGAAUUCAAUGGGGCCAUUUGGGAAGCCAUCAAGGACUAUGUACCUCAGGUACAUCUCCUUGUGGUGCUCAUUCUGAACAAGAACCGCACCAAUCUCCCCAAAAUCAUCAGGAAUCACAAAGUCUGAUUCAUAUGUUACUUCCCCGUCCUUUUCGGCAGCCCGAUGAGCAUAUGCGCCGAUGGGUUUCUUCUCUAAGCCCGUCUCUUCACAAAAAUCAUUAACGAAAAUAUCAGUACUUAAUCAGUGGAUUUUACAGUUCUAACAAACAGGCGAAAGAGCAUUUGAUAGAGAAAAGAAUAUGUGGAAAAGUGUUUUGUCUUUUCAGCAUUAUCAAUUGCUCUGAAAAUGGAGGUAUGAAAUCAACACCAGCCUAUAGUAUAGAAUUUAGGUAUGGUGAAAUACUUACUGGGGUCAACCUCUGAACUGACGACCUCCAAGAGGAGUGUUUUACCAAGCCAGUCAGAUACAUCAUCGAGCCCAUGGCUCAACCCUAUCAGGCUAGACAAGAACCCUCCAACUGUUAAUUUCACAGUAACAGUGGCCUUAACAGAUACGGACUUCCGGGUAUCAGUAUCACUAGCAACUGCUUUAAUGUUGGCAGGGACGUAGCCAACCCUAACAUUCCUGUACUUUUUUCGGAAUUCCGGCCUCGGCCUGACGGAAAAUGAAGCAGUUCCGGGGCCGGGAAUGCACGGUUUGUUCAACAGGAAGAAGGUCGGGGCAGUGUGUGACUGGUGGACCUGAGUCUUGAACAUAUCUCCAGCAGGGAGAAUGGUAGAUGAAAGGCUUAAUUCGCUUUAGGUAUGAAAUCUCUGGGGGCU
rnacentral:lncRNA from 1 species